rnacentral:rRNA from 1 species
UACGUAGGGGGCAAGCGUUGUCCGGAUUUAUUGGGCGUAAAGAGCGUGUAGGCGGUCAGGUAGGUCCGUUGUGAAAACUCGAGGCUCAACCUCGAGACGCCGAUGGAAACCAUCUGACUAGAGUCCGGAAGAGGAGAGUGGAAUUCCUGGUGUAGCGGUGAAAUGCGCAGAUAUCAGGAGAACACCCGUGGCUAAGGCGGCUCUCUAGUACGGUACUGACGCUGAGACGCGAAAGCGUGGGGAGCGAACAGG